rnacentral:ncRNA from 1 species
AGGUUGUUUUGCCGAUAUGGAAUUAAAAGGGAAUCCGGUGAGAAUCCGGGACAGUACCCGCUGCUGUAACUCCAGUUCCCAGUGAAAGGAGGAAAAUCCUAUCACUGACAUGGAAAAUAAGGUUGCCGUACUCUUAGCCACUGGCGAAUGCCGGGAAGGCACGGUAACAGGAGAAGUCAGAAGACCUGCCUUGUGCCA